rnacentral:rRNA from 1 species
UACGGGGGGGGCAAGCGUUGUUCGGAAUUACUGGGCGUAAAGGGCUCGUAGGUGGCCAACUAAGUCAGACGUGAAAUCCCUCAGCUUAACUGGGGAACUGCGUCUGAUACUGGAUGGCUUGAGUUUGGGAGAGGGAUGCGGAAUUCCAGGUGUAGCGGUGAAAUGCGUAGAUAUCAGGAAGAACACCCGUGGCGAAAGCGGCUCUCUGGAACGGUACUGACGCUGAGACGCGAAAGCGUGGGGAGCGAACAGG